rnacentral:pre_miRNA from 1 species
UGGGGUUUCUAAUAGCGAGCAUCUGGGCCUCGGAGGUUAUUCGAACAGGAAGUUGUCCUCAGAAGCUAUUCGAACAGGAAGUUGUCUUCACCUAGAGAACCGGUAUCAUCGUCUAGACCUGGACACAAUUGUCCAGGUCUACAUGAUGAUACCGGAUCUCUAUGUGAGGAUAACUUCCUGUUCGAAUAGCCUCGGAGCCUGGAGGACCAGAUGCUCGCUAUUAGAAACCCCA